rnacentral:rRNA from 1 species
AGCGACUUAUAUUCUGUAGCAAGGUUAACCGUAUAGGGGAGCCGUAGGGAAACCGAGUCUUAACCGGGCGUUAAGUUGCAGGGUAUAGACCCGAAACCCGGUGAUCUAGCCAUGGGCAGGUUGAAGGUUGGGUAACACUAACUGGAGGACCGAACCGACUAAUGUUGAAAAAUUAGCGGAUGACCUGUGGCUGGGGGUGAAAGGCCAAUCAAACCGGGAGAUAGCUGGUUCUCCCCGAAAGCUAUUUAGGUAGCGCCUCGUGAAUUCAUCUCCGGGGGUAGAGCACUGUUUCGGCUAGGGGGCCAUCCCGGCUUACCAACCCGAUGCAAACUGCGAAUACCGGAGAAUGUUAUCACGGGAGACACACGGCGGGUGCUAACGUCCGUCGUGAAGAGGGAAACAACCCAGACCGCCAGCUAAGGUCCCAAAGUCAUGGUUAAGUGGGAAACGAUGUGGGAAGGCCCAGACAGCCAGGAUGUUGGCUUAGAAGCAGCCAUCAUUUAAAGAAAGCGUAAUAGCUCACUGGUCGAGUCGGCCUGCGCGGAAGAUGUAACGGGGCUAAACCAUGCACCGAAGCUGCGGCAGCGAACGUAUCACCCAAGACAACUUUACGGAGUUGACGAUUGACGGAGCGAAGCGACGUCAAAGCGUUCAUUAAAGUCGAGUUGGCUUAGGGAUACGUUCGUUGGGUAGGGGAGCGUUCUGUAAGCCUGUGAAGGUGUGUCGUGAGGCAUGCUGGAGGUAUCAGAAGUGCGAAUGCUGACAUAAGUAACGAUAAAGCGGGUGAAAAGCCCGCUCGCCGGAAGACCAAGGGUUCCUGUCCAACGUUAAUCGGGGCAGGGUGAGUCGACCCCUAAGGCGAGGCCGAAAGGCGUAGUCGAUGGGAAACGGGUUAAUAUUCCCGUACUUGGUGUUACUGCGAAGGGGGGACGGAGAAGGCUAUGUUGGCCGGGCGACGGUUGUCCCGGUUUAAGCGUGUAGGUGUGUGUUCCAGGUAAAUCCGGUUCACUUUAACACUGAGGCGUGACGACGAGGCACUACGGUGCUGAAGCAACAAAUGCCCUGCUUCCAGGAAAAGCCUCUAAGCAUCAGGUAACACGAAAUCGUACCCCAAACCGACACAGGUGGUCAGGUAGAGAAUACCAAGGCGCUUGAGAGAACUCGGGUGAAGGAACUAGGCAAAAUGGUGCCGUAACUUCGGGAGAAGGCACGCUGACACGUAGGUGAAGUGAUUUACUCAUGGAGCUGAAGUCAGUCGAAGAUACCAGCUGGCUGCAACUGUUUAUUAAAAACACAGCACUGUGCAAACACGAAAGUGGACGUAUACGGUGUGACGCCUGCCCGGUGCCGGAA